rnacentral:rRNA from 1 species
UACGAAGGGGGCUAGCGUUGCUCGGAAUCACUGGGCGUAAAGCGCACGUAGGCGGACUCUUAAGUCGGGUGUGAAAUCUCGGAGCUUAACUCCGAAACUGCAUUCGAUACUGCCGUGCUUGAGGACUGGAGAGGAGACUGGAAUUUACGGUGUAGCGGUGAAAUGCGUAGAUAUCGUAAGGAAGACCAGUGGCGAAGGCGGGUCUCUGGACAGCUCCUGACGCUGAGGCACGAAGGCCAGGGGAGCAAACGGG